ensembl:snRNA U1 U1 spliceosomal RNA
AUAGUUACCUGGCAGGGGCGACUCCAUGAUCAGGUAGGUGGAUUGCCUAGAGUGAGGAUCAACCAUUGCACUCCAGCUUUUCUGACCUCUAUGAAUUCUCCACAUGUGAGAAUCUCAACGGCAUAAUUUCUGCUAGUGGGGACUGCAUUCACACUCUCCCUG